rnacentral:rRNA from 1 species
GGCAUUGGGGCAAGCUAUAAUGCAGUCGAGCGAACAGAAGGGAGCUUGCUCCCGGAUGUUAGCGGCGGACGGGUGAGUAACACGUGGGUAACCUGCCUGUAAGACUGGGAUAACUCCGGGAAACCGGAGCUAAUACCGGAUAGUUCCUUGAACCGCAUGGUUCAAGGAUGAAAGACGGUUUCGGCUGUCACUUACAGAUGGACCCGCGGCGCAUUAGCUAGUUGGUGGGGUAAUGGCUCACCAAGGCGACGAUGCGUAGCCGACCUGAGAGGGUGAUCGGCCACACUGGGACUGAGACACGGCCCAGACUCCUACGGGAGGCAGCAGUAGGGAAUCUUCCGCAAUGGACGAAAGUCUGACGGAGCAACGCCGCGUGAGUGAUGAAGGUUUUCGGAUCGUAAAGCUCUGUUGUUAGGGAAGAACAAGUGCGAGAGUAACUGCUCGCACCUUGACGGUACCUAACCAGAAAGCCACGGCUAACUACGUGCCAGCAGCCGCGGUAAUACGUAGGUGGCAAGCGUUGUCCGGAAUUAUUGGGCGUAAAGGGCUCGCAGGCGGUUUCUUAAGUCUGAUGUGAAAGCCCCCGGCUCAACCGGGGAGGGUCAUUGGAAACUGGGAAACUUGAGUGCAGAAGAGGAGAGUGGAAUUCCACGUGUAGCGGUGAAAUGCGUAGAGAUGUGGAGGAACACCAGUGGCGAAGGCGACUCUCUGGUCUGUAACUGACGCUGAGGAGCGAAAGCGUGGGGAGCGAACAGGAUUAGAUACCCUGGUAGUCCACGCCGUAAACGAUGAGUGCUAAGUGUUAGGGGGUUUCCGCCCCUUAGUGCUGCAGCUAACGCAUUAAGCACUCCGCCUGGGGAGUACGGUCGCAAGACUGAAACUCAAAGGAAUUGACGGGGGCCCGCACAAGCGGUGGAGCAUGUGGUUUAAUUCAAAGCAACGCGAAAAAACCUUACCAGGUCUUGACAUCCUCUGACAACCCUAGAGAUAGGGCUUUCCCUUCGGGGACAGAGUGACAGGUGGUGCAUGGUUGUCGUCUUCUCGUGGCAUUGGAAAGUGGGGUUAAGUCCCGGAAACCAG